UCAAAGGAUUGUGCCACGUG
rnacentral:siRNA from 1 species